GAUGAAGAACGCAGCGAAAUGCGAUACUUGGUGUGAAUUGCAGAAUCCCGUGAACCAUCGAGUUUUUGAACGCAAGUUGCGCCCGAAGCCAUUAGGCCGAGGGCACGCCUGCCUGGGCGUCACACGUCGUUGCCCCCCCAUCUACUCCUUCGGGAUUGCGGGGGGCGGAUGCUGGCCUCCCGUGCGCCUCGUCGCGCGGUUGGCCUAAAUGCCAAGUCCUCGGCGACGCACGCCACGACAAUCGGUGGUUGCGAAACCUCGGUUGCCCGUCGUGUGCGGUCGUCGCGCAUCGAGGGCUCGAAAAAAUUGCCGGGCUUCGGCUCGACUUUCAACGCGACCCCAGGUCAGGCGGGGUUACCCGCUGAAUUUAAGCAUAUCAAUAAGCGGAGGA
rnacentral:misc_RNA from 1 species